rnacentral:rRNA from 1 species
CACCUCUAGCAUUACAAGUAUUAGAGGCACUGCCUGCCCAGUGACAAUUAAGUUAAACGGCCGCGGUAUCCUGACCGUGCAAAGGUAGCAUAAUCACUUGUUCUUUAAAUAAGGACUUGUAUGAAUGGCUUGACGAGGGUUUAACUGUCUCUUACUUAUAGUCAGUGAAAUUGACCUCCCCGUGAAGAGGCGGGGAUAAAAAAAUAAGACGAGAAGACCCUAUGGAGCUUUAAUUUAUUAAUUCAUUUUUGCCUAUAAAAAUCAACAAGAAACAAAAAGAACAAAAUAUGAAUUAACAAUUUUGGUUGGGGUGACCUCGGAGCAAAUCAAAACCUCCGAAUGAUAUUAACCUAGAUCUACUAAUCAAAGUUUCUAUCAUAAAUUGACCCAGAAAAAUCUGAUCAACGGACCAAGUUACCCUAGGGAUAACAGCGCAAUCCUAUUACAGAGUUCAUAUCGACAAUAGGGUUUACGACCUCGAUGUUGGAUCAGGACACCCCAAUGGUGCAACCGCUAUUAAAGGUUCGUUUGUUCAACGAUUAAAGUCCU